GACGUAGGGUGCAAGCGUUGUCCGGAUUUACUGGGCGUAAAGAGCGCGUAGGCGGUCUGUUAAGUGUAGAGUGAAAUCUCCAGGGCUCAACCCGGAAACUGCUCUGCAGACUGGCAGACUGGAGGGUCGCAGAGGUAUGUGGAAUUCCCGGUGUAGCGGUGAAAUGCGUUGAUAUCGGGAGGAACACCCAUGGCGAAGGCAGCAUACUGGGCGACACCUGACGCUGAGGCGCGAAAGCGUGGGUAGCAAACAGG
rnacentral:rRNA from 1 species